GAUGAACGCUGGCGGCGUGCCUAAUACAUGCAAGUCGAGCGAACGGACGAGAAGCUAGCUUCUCUGAUGUUAGCGGCGGACGGGUGAGUAACACGUGGAUAACCUACCUAUAAGACUGGGAUAACUUCGGGAAACCGGAGCUAAUACCGGAUAAUAUUUUGAACCGCAUGGUUCAAAAGUGAAAGACGGUCUUGCUGUCACUUAUAGAUGGAUCCGCGCUGCAUUAGCUAGUUGGUAAGGUAACGGCUUACCAAGGCAACGAUGCAUAGCCGACCUGAGAGGGUGAUCGGCCACACUGGAACUGAGACACGGUCCAGACUCCUACGGGAGGCAGCAGUAGGGAAUCUUCCGCAAUGGGCGAAGGCCUGACGGAGCAACGCCGCGUGAGUGAUGAAGGUCUUCGGAUCGUAAAACUCUGUUAUUAGGGAAGAACAUAUGUGUAAGUAACUGUGCACAUCUUGACGGUACCUAAUCAGAAAGCCACGGCUAACUACGUG
rnacentral:rRNA from 1 species